rnacentral:rRNA from 1 species
UACGGAGGGUGCAAGCGUUAUCCGGAUUUACUGGGUUUAAAGGGUGCGUAGGCGGGCCUUUAAGUCAGUGGUGAAAGCUCCGAGCUUAACUCGGAAACUGCCGUUGAUACUAUUGGUCUUGAAUUCGGUCGAGGUUGGCGGAAUGUGUCGUGUAGCGGUGAAAUGCUUAGAUAUGACACAGAACACCGAUUGCGAAGGCAGCUAGCUAGACCGACAUUGACGCUGAGGCACGAAAGCGUGGGGAUCAAACAGG